UUCACAGUCCAACUCUCACAUCCAUACAUGACUACUGGAAAAACCAUAGCCUUGACUAGAUGGACCUUUGUUGGCAAAGUAAUGUCUCUGCUUUUCAAUAUAGGGGACAAAAAAUAUUUGAGAACAAAACCAUUACCAGGCAAGAGAAAUAACAAGAGCAAAGAUAGCAGUUGUAAAGACUGCUAGUUCUCUGUCAAUGGUUAAGGCUAGCAUAAAGCAUUGUCUUGAGCUGGUUUGCAAAACUUAAAUCCCAACAACCAGAUCAACUGGAAUCGGAGGGAUAAUGAUGCUGACCUUUUCUGACCCUCAUGUUAUUAGUCAACUAAAGUUUGAAGUCUGCCUACCACCCAAGCCCCUUCAUGAAUAUGCCUGUACCAAUAGCUUAAAGUUGCCCAGUUUUGCUGUUCCGAGAGACACUGGUUUGGAGAAGAUCCCUGGUGUUCUCCUUACUUAGAGCAAGUAAUACGUCUUCUGCAAUUUGGCUUGGUUGUAUCUUACAGCAAACCCAGUUUUCAGGUAACAUUUCUACACGAUCGAGCCUACUUUAUAGUUAUUCAUAAUUUUUAUAUACACAGCAUUUAGUAUACAUACACAAUACAUUGUGAUAAUUGUGUAAGAGGAAAGGCCGGGGUGGCAAGGAUUCCUAAGCUGGUUUGGGGAGAGGGUGAAGAAAGAAAGUUGUCUGAGCUAGACUUUAAAGCCUUUUUAAAAAAAAAAAAAAAAAAGGACCAUGUGUGUCUGUUCUUCAAACUACCCAGCACAUAGGAGUUAUUCUGGUGUGACAAAAUGUUGUGAAAAUUGAGAAAAAUUGUUUUGGGUGGAAAUAAUAGACAUCCUCAAAGGAGGAGGAAGGACAGAGAUUAACAUUUUUUAUUGAAGCCCUAAAAUGUGCUAAAAAUGCUCUAUGGGUAGGACUGAAGAUAAAUGUGAGGGGCAGUGAUUAGUUGGUAUGUAUGGCCACACAUGAUAGCUUCACAGUUCUCAGUUAUAUUCGGAAAGAGGUCAUUUACUUGGAAAGAACAGGUAGUUGGCAACAUAAUUGGCAACAGCUGAAGCCCUCCAACCUCUAAACUACACUUUGUGUGAGGAAAUAAAUUCCCUUUGUUAUUUAAACCAGAUUCUGUUACACAACUGAAAGCAGCUGAGCUUUAUGUCAGAAGAUAAAGGUGUUAAAACCUGAAAAAGUGACAAAUUCUCCCUGUUUUGCUCUAAGGUGUUCUAAAGAAUAACAGCCAUAGUUGCACCACCUUGGAACUUAGAAAAGCCAAUUCUUGAGCCCCAUCCCAGACCUACUAAAAUCUCUGGGGUUCACCCAGGGAUCCUUAGCAAGCUUUCCAGGUGACUUUUCAGCAUGCCAAAACUUGAAACCUCUGCAGUGCUGAGCGACUCCUUAUUUGCAUUUCUAACAAGCAACAGGUGUUGCUGAUGUCCGUGGAAGGCAGAUCAGCCUUUAAGUAGCACCUCUGAAAUUCUCUGUUCCCUGAGAUGUUGAAACAAACAAUUCAGAGCUUUGAAGAGUGUGCGCUAAGUUUUCCUCCUCUUCAGAGGUUGGAAAUGGCAAUAAGGAAGACCCUCUUCCAGCACUAAGAAGCUGCAGCUGACAAUCUGGCGGUAGUGGGGACACAGUGGACACAUCAGUUGCAUGUGAGCUUGAAGUUAUCUAGUAUAUUGGCUAAACAUCCAUAAAACCCUAUUAGACACGUGCCUGCCAUAUAUUUUAAUGGGAACCAUAUGUGUGCAGUGCCAUGUUGGUACUUACUGCUAAGGAAGUGAAGUGCUGAGUCCCGCCAUCCACCCACACCUGCGGCUUCACAAGCCACAAGAAAAUGAAAAACAAACACGCUGCUGGCAUACCCGGAAACCGUGGAAGUUUGGCAAAACCAACCAGAAAGGAAAAGAGAAUUGGAGUGUGGAGGCUGUGCUGGUGGGAAGCCGGAGCAUUACAAAAGGCUGCUUUUGUUGAUGCUCUUCCACGAGGCCCAACUUUACUCUGAAAAUAAUUGAUGUCGGAAGACAAGCAAGGUUUACUUCUGUAUUUCUUUGGACUGUGUGGAUUGACAUCUUGAAUAUUUUCUGGCAAGGAUGUGUCCUUAAGAGAAUCCUGAGCAGGUGGAUUCUUAAUCACUGGACCACCAGGGGAGUCCAAUUAAGAAUUCUUGAACAUGUGGAUGUUUGAGUCUCUAGAGAUUUUUGUCCUGCUCCAGACCCGUCAGCCUAACUGAUGACAAAGAAGUAUUUCUCAACGUGAGAAAAUCCUAGAGCUGGAUGGAAAAUGACCAAGUACUAAGAGCGAGCAACCUGACAGCCCAACAUGCAAAUUGUUGAAAACCUUUUGUGAUUUGUAAUCCUUACGUUUGGCUUUCGUUUGGGGAAAAACUGCUGCCAAUAAAAUUACACUGACUAAACUGUGA